UCCUUCACUUUAAAGUCCGUUAUAUGGAGGUUUCACAUUUAGCGGAACCUCGAUUUAACGAUCUUCCUUCACUUUAAAGUCCGUUAUAUGGAGGUUUCACGGUAUACAAAGUUGGAAUUGUAUUGGACGUGUCUGCUAUGAAGGGCUGAGAGAGAGAGAGGGGGCUUGUUCUCGCCCUUUCUCCCCUACCUCGUCAAUAUCCUUCCCUACCGAGUCUGGAAUUUCCCUCUUUCCUUCCCUAACUCGUAAAUAUUCCUUCUUAUCUGCUCAAGGAAUAAGAUAUUUUCCCUUUUUUUUUAUUUCUCCAAAGAACUUGAGAUAAAUAUUUUUCACAUUGUUCAAAAUUUUCCCAGUUUCUUCCCCCCCCAACCAGGACAAAAUAUCCCAAAUUUUCCCCCUACCACCCACAGCCUCAUAACUCCCUUAAUUUCACCCUUACCAACUCAUAACUCCCUUAUUUUCUCCCUUACCAACUCAUAAUUCCCUUAUUUUCUCCCUUACCAACUCAUAAUUCCCUUAUUUUCUCCCUUACCAACUCAUAACCCCCUUAUUUUCUCCCUUACCAACUCAUAAUUCCCUUAUUUUCUCCCUUACCAACUCAUAACUCCCUUAUUUUCUCCCUUACCAACUCAUAACUCCCUUAUUUUCUCCCUUACCAGCAUCUAACACGUCCCUCCCGCUUGCCUACCCCUUCAGGAGAGCCCUUGACGGCCCCGCAGCUGGUGGGGGCGAGGGAGAUUUACGAGGCGACAGAGCUCAUCAAGAUCGGCUGCCAACCUAGACCACCUCUACCUGCCGACCACAGACCCACACUACAAUGGUACCUCGAAGGAACUCAGGUGGGAUCCAACUUCGUCAAAUCUUAUCGACUGAGUCACCUCCACGAUUAUUAUGGCCUGUCUCUCCACGUGCCGGGACAACAGAUAGCAGAGGCGGGGGGUUCACUACAAGCAGAGUGUCGCCUGAGCCUUGGGUCUCAUCACCACAGUGCUUAUCAGACCCUGAGAGUAAGGGUCCGCAUGAUCUCUUAUAUCGACAACUACCACUCCGCAGGCACCAAGACCACCAGCAUCACCCAGCUCGUAUACUCCUCCUGGCUCCUGCUGGUGACUGCGGGUAUUCUCUUCGUGUAGGAUCUCCUUCAGCAGCGUCACUACACACACACAUCCCCGUCAGGAGGAAUGGAAUAACGAAUACAAGCAGAAAAAUUAUAUUAGUUUUAUGUGUGUGUGUGUGUGUGUGUGUGUGUGUUAAUAUAUUUGUGUGUGUUGUCUG